CCUCUCUUUCUAUCGGUGGCGUUUCUUUCACACUCUUCUUCUUCCCUGAUUCAAAACCCUACACCAAUUCAAGGAUAGGAGCUAAAUCAUCACUAACAAGUGAGUAAAAUUGUUGUUUUAUUUGAAGAUUUUGGGAUUGUUUUUCUUAGAAUUUGGUCGUGUAAUUCAUCAGUGGAAGUAAAGAUAUGACUCAACAACAACAAUGCAGAGCUGAAGUGAAUAGGAUAAAGUCAUGCUGGCUCUGUUGACAUCUGAAUGCUGAGGCGUUUUGUGGCUCCCUUGACAUCCCAAUGCUUACACGAUUGGUGGCUCCGCUGACAUCCGAAUGCUGAGGCGUUUGGUGGCUCCGCUGACAUCCAAAUGCUCACGCAUUUGGUGGCUCUGGUGACAUCUGAAUGCUGACACGUUUGGUGGUUCCGUUGACUUCCGAAUGCUUAUUCUGUCAAAGAAUCUAAUUAUCCGACUCCAAAGAAAGGAGGAUCAUCGUUUACUAGUACUGAUGGAAGCUCUAAACUGCACUCUAGACCAUGUCAUUAGAAGUACUUGUUAGCCACGGAAGAGACAAUCCGCCACCAGUUAUGGUGCUCUGUAAGUUACCUCAACCGAUCAGUUGAUUUAUCAAUCAGAAAUUAUUCUGAAAUAUAACCCUUUUGUCUUUGGAGUGGAUACUGCGUGCACUUGCAGUGGGAGAAAUUCUUACUUCUAGAUAGCAAAGAAGAGAGACAACAGUAUGAAGCAUACCUUUUGGUACAGACAAUAAUGCUAUGCACCAGCCACUCACUUCCACACCUGGAGGAAGAUCGGAUCUUAUUGUCUAAUCCUUGCUGCAGAGAUGUAGUCAGCAGAGUCUCACUCAUGAAAACAUGAAAAAGGGCAAAGCUGAAGUGAAUAGGAUAAAGUCAUGCCCCUUGGUUCUGGUGACAUCCGAAUGCUGACGCGUUUGGUGGCUCUGGUGACAUCCGAAUGCUGAGGCGUUUGGUGGCUCCGCUGACAUCCGAAUGCUUACGCGUUUGGUGGCUCCGCUGACAUCCGAAUGCUGAGACGUUUGGUGGCUCCGUUGACAUCCGAAUGCUUACGCGUUUGGUGGCUCUGGAGACAUCCGAAUGAUGCGGCGUUUGGUGGCUCCACUGACAUCCGAAUGCCGACGCGUUUGGUGGCUCCGUUGACAUCCGAAUGCUGAGGCGUAUGGUGGCUCCGUUGACAUCCGAAUGCUUACGCGUUUGGUGGCUCUGGUGACAUCUGAAUGCUGAGGCGUUUGGUGGCUCUGGUGACAUCCGAAUGAUGCAGCGUUUGGUGGCUCCACUGACAUCCGAAUGCCGACGCGUUUGGUGGCUCCGCUGACAUCCGAAUGCUUACGCAUUUGGUGACUCUGGUGACAUCUGAAUGCUGACACGUUUGGUGGUUCCGUUGACUUCCGAAUGCUUAUUCUGUCAAAGAAUCUAAUUAUCCGACUCCAAAGGGACAGAAAAUAUUCAGUAGGGAGACUUCACAAGGUAGAAUGCUUGGCAUUUGGUCAGCUUGAUGCUUGGGUAAAGUUUCAACAAGUUAAUUAGACUAUUCGUACUCUGGUAUUCAAUUUGUUUGAGAAAGAAGAAAACAAGUUACAUGUCAAAUCAAAAGGUAUAUCGUUCUUGUUCACGAUGACUGUCAGGUUAGUACAUUUUUUGCCUUUACAAAGACAUAGUAGUUAUUUUCUCAUGGAUAAACAAUUGCAGGAAAAACAAUGAGAUUCUUUUCUUACAUCAAUAUGUAUUAGGUUAUAUAGUUUAGAGGCAUGCAUGACGCAUUCCAUUUUGUUACAAAUAAAAAGGUAAACAUUGUUAACUCUAACUCUCUAUGUUUAUUAUGUUUUGCAUAAAGUUGUUUCUGACUUGAGCGUCGGAGUAUCUUUUUUGUUUUUUGCAGGUUUUGCUUUUGUAUUCCUAUGCCCAAUUCAAUUAGCAGACUUGAAACGGGUUCUGGUGCCUCAUGGGGAAUGUUUAGCUUUUGAUCAGUUUGCCUCUGUCUGACUUCAAAGGAUACAAAUGGAGACUGGUCAGUCCUAUGAAUUGUGUACUAAUGAGAUCCUCCUCUUCCUUAAAUCAAAAGGAGAAUUUUUAAUGUGGAAUGCUGCUGUCCCGGUUGAGAUUGCUUGCGUGCUUGGCAUUUGAUCAGCAUACUGUCAGGAGAUCAAGGGCAUAAUGUAAUAGUACAUUCCAUUGGGAUAAUCAAGGCAAGUCUCCAGAACAACAUUGUUUGUGCACUGCAUACAUCUGAAUAUGGGAGGAGAGAUGCUGACAAGAGGAAAAUGUAAGAUGAGAAGAAUAUAACUCUCACAAUGAGGUUUUUUCAUCAAUGCCAAAAUGUGUAUGCACAUCACGGUUGGACUAUGGCGCAGAAGAAGCAACAGAAUCGAGAAAUUUUCUUGCCUUUAGUGAAGCUAGAGUUGAUGAAGUCGGUAUUGCAGUAUCAGAUUCUACAGAUGCUGCCAGAAGUGCUGCUGACAUAGUUCUAACAGAACCUGGAUUAAGCGUCCUCAUCCAUGCUAUCAUUACAUAGUUAUAACAAUGUAAUGACUAUUGCAGAUAUAUGCGGUUUCGAUAACCAUAAGGAUUGUGCUUGGUUUUGUAAUGACUAUACUGAACAAUGGUACCAUUAUGACAAUAUCCAAAGACCAUGUGAAGCCUUCUCCAAAACCAGACAACUGGAAACUGAAUGACAUAUUCGCGACUGGCAUUGUCAUAGGGACUUAUCUUGCAUUAGUCACUGUCUUAUUUUACUGGAUAGUCACGGCGACUUCUUUCAGAUGCACUUCCAUUUGAGGUCUAUAAGCUUAGCUAACUGGAGGUAUCUUCUGCGGUGUAUCUACAUGUCAGCGUCAUCAGCCAAGCUCUGAUAUUUGUUACUCACAGUCAAAGCUGGUCAUUUGUCGAAAGGCCAGGUGUUCUAUUGAUGUGUGCAUUUGUGGUGGCUCAGCUGGUUGCUACCGUGAUAGCAGUGUAUGCAAAUGUCAGCUUCGCAUCAAUCCAAGGCAUUGGAUGGGGUUGGGCUGGCGCAAUAUGGUUCUACAGCUUGCUCUUAGCGGCGGAGCCUGGAAUCUGUUGUUUGAUAGAAAGGUACAUCAGUGCAGGAAUUCUUACAUUUAUCAAAAACUAUGACGCCGAGCCUAACUGUUAACAAUAAUUUCGCUCCGUUUAUUUUCAA